GGCCGGAUAGCUUAGUGGUCAGAGAAUCUACCUAGUAAGCAGGAAAUCCAGGUUCGAAUCCUGGUCCGGCACA